CGAACGGGUGAGUAACACGUGAAGAACCUGCCCUUCAGUGGGGGACAACAGUUGGAAACGACUGCUAAUACCGCAUAAGACCACAGUACCGCAUGGUACAGUGAUCAAAGGAUUUAUCCGCUGAAGGAUGGCUUCGCGUCCGAUUAGGUAGUUGGUGAGGUAACGGCCCACCAAGCCUACGAUCGGUAGCCGGACUGAGAGGUUGAUCGGCCACAUUGGGACUGAGACACGGCCCAGACUCCUACGGGAGGCAGCAUG
rnacentral:rRNA from 1 species